rnacentral:rRNA from 1 species
UACAGAGACGUCGAGCGUUGUUCGGAUUCAUUGGGCGUAAAGGGUGCGUAGGCGGUGAGGUAAGUCGGAUGUGAAAUCCCAAAGCUUAACUUUGGAAGUGCAUCCGAAACUGCCUUGCUAGAGGACUGGAAGGGAGACUGGAAUUCUCGGUGUAGCGGUGAAAUGCGUAGAUAUCGAGAGGAACACCUGUGGCGAAGGCGGGUCUCUGGACAGUUCCUGACGCUGAGGCACGAAAGCCAGGGGAGCAAACGGG